AGUUCCCUAUGAUAGUCCACUUCAUCUGCAAGAAAACAGGCAGCCGCACCAGUUUCCUCAUAUGAGAGAGUCCACUUCUUCUGCAAGAAAACAGGCAGCCGCACCAGUUUCCUCAUAUGAGAGAGUCCACUUCAUCUGCAAGAAAACAGGCGGCCGCACCAGUUUCCUCAUAUGAGAGAGUCUACUUCUUCUGCAAGAAAACAGGCGGCCGCACCAGUUUCCUCAUAUGAAAUUAAAAGUAGGUUUGUGACCUAACACACUUUCAAAAUGGCUGUUGAAACUGUGGGACACAUUUCUCUGCAAGAAGUCGGAUAAAUGUGUUGAUUUGAAGGAAAGACGAGCAGACUGUUGUCAGCGGUCUAAAAUGAGUAUCUCUGGGGAGAGAGAGGAGGGGGGCCCUGCCUCUAAAAUGAGACUCUCUGGGGAACAUGACACCACAGCUAAAAGUCCAAUCAAGCAGGAGAGACCAGCCUCCCCUGUACCCAGCUGUGUCUGUCCAUGAAGAGUGAGCGGUCUAUGGGUCAUCCUAUACUGUUCAGAGAGGCAGACUUUUCUACUGG